GUCAUCUUCUUCUUACCCUUGCAAAUAUUUCUCCAGAUGAACUAUGCUGGGUGCUCCUGCUGGUGCUGUUUAGUCGUGUAGCUUGUUAGCUCAUGGUCGCCAGUAGCUUCUUGACUUAGAUUAGAAGCUGCUGGUGCUGCUUAUUAGUCGUGUUCAGCCUCCGCUGUUGUAGAUCUCAGUUGAAAGUAGUUUUUACCCAUUCUUUCAAGGGCAUUGGUAAAUCGAGUAGCAAAAGUACGGUGGGAUUUACAAGUUGUGAUGCCCCAUCUGUGUGUCUGGUUAUCCUAGUAAAAGGUGUACCUACCAAAUUUACAGAUAUUUUCAUGUGAGCAUACGAGUUUGUAGUUUUGCUGUUUAUGUACCUGAGUAACUGGAGUUGGGAUAGUAGCCUCAUAACUAACAUUUCUUAUUUUGUUCUUCUUACAGUACCAGGAGAAGAUGAGCUUGUAGCGUGGGCUAUGGAUUAAAGCUUGAUACCAGCUUUCAUAGAUCCGGAUGGUUUUGAAGUGAUAGCUGGCUUGACUUUGCUUUUCUUCAAAGCAUCUUGGCAGACCAAAAUCCGUAAUUUUUGGCACCAUGUUUUCGUCUAGCAAUAUAUUUGCAGGUUUUAGGUCUAAGUGAAGGAUAUCGAUCUCUGUUAAUAUAUUGUAAACCUUCACAAAUUCCCUUGAUUAUUUCAUAGUGCGCUAUUUUAAAAGAAAUGAUUUGGCAUUGGACAAACCAAGUUGUCCAACAUGCAUAUUCAUGACUUGAAAAAGUAAAAAAAAAUACAGUCUGGAUAUUGUGUUUGACUUAGAAAGAUGGAAAAGCUAAACAAAAAGUUGUGAAGGCAGAUGAUAAAAGUGCUAUUGAAUGAUCAAGGAAUUUGUGAGGUUUACAUUAUCUUCGCAAGAGUUGUAUUGUUCACUUAGACCUAGACAUGCAAGUAUAUUUCUAGGCGAAAACAUAAUGUUAAAAAUUGCGGAUUUUUGUCUCUCAAGUUGCUUGGAGGAAAAUCAAAGCCAGGCUAUUGCUUCAAAACAGUUUGGAUCUAUGUAUGAAAGAAGGGACAUUGAUGAACUGGGUUGGAUUUACUUUGACUUGCAAACUUGUUUGCAUGUUAUCAUCAGAGCCUAGUGUACAUCUUUAGGUACUUCGCAAGAGAAAAAGGCUGCUUUGGCUGCAAGUGGAGUACUUGAUGCUGCAGAUGGUGGCUGGCGAUGCACUGCUCUGGCGUAGACUGCUACACAAGGAGCACCGGCGCUCCCCCAACGAAUACACCAGUUCCAAUCAGGCCCUGCCUUUCACCUGCCGACUCUCUAGGCACUUAGGUGUGAGGUAUGUCGGCCUGUGCAGUCCUGGAGCUGCAAUCUCCCCUGGAGGUGUCUGGCAAUGGCAGUGAUGCUGCCCUGUUGCUCUAAGUCUUGGCGCAUUGCCAUUUUUUGGCUGGAGGCAAGGCCCGGUGAGGCCUAAUGUCGUUGCUUGUCUGUAGUUGAGGGCACCUCCUCCACCUAGCUGUAGUCACUUGGUGAGGACGGUCGUGUGUGUGUGUGUGUGCGCGCGAGCGCGUGAGUGUCCCUCCUUUCUGGAGGUUGUACCCCUGAUGUCUUCCUGUUCAAUGCAAGUUCAAUGCAAUGAAACACAACUCUUUUGCAUUUUCUUGAAAAAAAAAGCUAGUACGUUUGGAGUAA